GAUGAACGCUGGCGGCGUGCCUAAUACAUGCAAGUCGAGCGAAUGGAUUAAGAGCUUGCUCUUAUGAAGUUAGCGGCGGACGGGUGAGUAACACGUGGGUAACCUGCCCAUAAGACUGGGAUAACUCCGGGAAACCGGGGCUAAUACCGGAUAAUAUUUUGAACUGCAUGGUUCAAAAUUGAAAGGCGGCUUCGGCUGUCACUGAUGGAUGGACCAGCGUCGCAUUAGCUAGUUGGUGAGGUAACGGCUCACCAAGGCAACGAUGCGUAGCCGACCUGAGAGGGUGAUCGGCCACACUGGGACUGAGACACGGCCCAGACUCCUACGGGAGGCAGCAGUAGGGAAUCUUCCGCAAUGGACGAAAGUCUGACGGAGCAACGCCGCGUGAGUGAUGAAGGCUUUCGGGUCGUAAAACUCUGUUGUUAGGGAAGAACAAGUGCUAGUUGAAUAAGCUGGCACCUUGACGGUACCUAACCAGAAAGCCACGGCUAACUACGUGCCAGCAGCCGCAGUAA
rnacentral:rRNA from 1 species